rnacentral:rRNA from 1 species
AUUGAACGCUGGCGGCAUGCCUUACACAUGCAAGUCGAACGGCAGCACGGGUGCUUGCACCUGGUGGCGAGUGGCGAACGGGUGAGUAAUAUAUCGGAACGUACCUUAUUGUGGGGGAUAACGCAGCGAAAGCUGUGCUAAUACCGCAUAAUCCCUAAGGGGGAAAGCGGGGGACCGUAAGGCCUCGCGCAAUUAGAGCGGCCGAUACCUGAUUAGCUAGUUGGUGAGGUAAAGGCUCACCAAGGCAACGAUCAGUAGCUGGUCUGAGAGGACGAUCAGCCACACUGGGACUGAGACACGGCCCAGACCCCUACGGGAGGCAGCAGUGGGGAAUUUUGGAUAAUGGGGGCAACCCUGAUCCAGCAAUGCCGCGUGAGUGAAGAAGGCCUUCGGGUUGUAAAGCUCUUUUGUCAGGGAAGAAACAGCAGCUCUAACACAGUAUGCGAAUGACGGUACCUGAAGAAUAAGCACCGGCUAACUACGUGCCAGCCGCCGCUGUAA